rnacentral:rRNA from 1 species
GAUGAACGCUGGCGGCGUGCCUAACACAUGCAAGUCGAGCGAACCCUUCGGGGUGAGCGGCGGACGGGUGAGUAACGCGUGGGUAACCUGCCCUAUACACACGGAUAACGUACCGAAAGGUACGCUAAUACGGGAUAAAGUUGUUGGAUGGCAUCUUCUAACAAUCAAAGCUCCGGCGGUAUAGGAUGGACCCGCGUCUGAUUAGCUAGUUGGUGAGGUAAUGGCUCACCAAGGCGACGAUCAGUAGCCGACCUGAGAGGGUGAUCGGCCACACUGGAACUGGGACACGGUCCAGGCUCCUACGGGAGGCAGCAGUGGGGAAUAUUGCACAAUGGGCGAAAGCCUGAUGCAGCACCGCCGCGUGAGCGAUGAAGGUCUUCGGAUCGUAAAGCUCUGUCCUCAAGGAAGAUAAUGACGGUACUUGAGGAGGAAGCCCCGGCUAACUACGUGCCAGCAGCCGCGGUAA